rnacentral:rRNA from 1 species
AACGCGAAGAACCUUACCAAGUCUUGACAUCCUGCUGAUCGUCCUAGAGAUAGGAUUUUCCUUCGGGACAGCAGUGACAGGUGGUGCAUGGUUGUCGUCAGCUCGUGUCGUGAGAUGUUGGGUUAAGUCCCGCAACGAGCGCAACCCUUAUCUUUAGUUACCAUCAUUCAGUUGGGGACUCUAGAGAGACUGCCGGUGACAAACCGGAGGAAGGUGGGGAUGACGUCAAAUCAUCAUGCCCCUUAUGACUUGGGCUACACACGUGCUACAAUGGCUGUUACAAAGGGUUGCGAGACGGUGACGUUAAGCUAAUCCCAAAAAGGCAGUCUAAGUUCGGAUUGUAGUCUGCAACUCGACUACAUGAAGUUGGAAUCGCUAGUAAUCGCGGAUCAGAAUGCCGCGGUGAAUACGUUCUCGGGUCUUGUACACACCG